rnacentral:lncRNA from 1 species
CCUGGCCCCUCAUGCCUCCGUGCUUGCGCGUGUGCCAUUUCCUCUCUCCAGAGGACCUUUCCUGCCUAGGACUCAUGAUUGUCCCCUCCCUGGCAUUUUUUACACCUGGAGCAGCCAGAGGACGCAUGCAUGGCUCUUCGGAAGCCUUCUCCUGCCACGGCAUGCACCCACACAUGCGAGCCUCCCGGGUACUGUCAUCCUGAAUUCUGAGACCAUCCAGCACUUCCUUUAGUUUUGCCCUGGUGCUGUUGACUUUUGUUUACUGAAGAGUGUGCUGGAGGCAGGACAAGGGACAUGGAAGGCUGCAAUUUAAGAGUCUAAAAGGUUUUAGAAUCCUGAAGGAGGUUUAACAAGCUG